rnacentral:lncRNA from 1 species
AGAGCAGUGUGUCAUUUCCGGACGCCGAGUCUUUCCAGUAAGAGAAGUGAAACAGACCCCCCCCCCCCCCCGCCGCCGCCCCUCCCCCGCUCAACAGCGCGCUCGCGCCAGUGCCCCCGAGACUGUGUCCGUGCCCGUGUCCGCCAGCGCUCCGCUAUUAGGAUCCCCAUCGUGCUCUGAGACGCGGGUCCACAGCGAAGCAACACUAAAGCCUUCAUCGGGACUGCAGGAACAGGACUGGACCCAACCAGCAGACGAUGCAGCCACUGAGGGAGAAUAUGAUGAUGAAGAGGAUUAUAGUUACGACUAUAAGGCAGAGUUUAAUGAUAGCAAUACAAAUAUUUUUCAGGUCAAGCUUUUCAACAAGACAUAUAAUGGAACUUUCAUCAAGUCAAUAAAUUAUUUUAAAAUUGACGAUGAAGAUAUAAGCAGUCGUUUAAAUCUUUCAGAUGGUAUGCAGAGUUUACAAAAGCUGUUUUGCAUGGUGUACAACAACAGUCAGUUUAGCUGCAAUUGGACGGCACAAAAGCCCCCCUCCGACACCCACAUUUCUUUCACUGUCUUUCAGCAAAAUGCAAGAGCCAGAACAUGGAACUGCUCCACUAGACGAAGCAGUGAAGUUGUAGAAUGCAGUGGCAGAAUCAACCCAGACAAACAUCUUAUGACUGUACAAAUCACUUUUUCCCUCCCAAAUUCAUUGUACGUCCAUACUCAACAUUUUGAGGUGAAAGAAAUUGAAAAGCUCAAUCCUCCACACAGAAUAACAAUGUCAUUAACUGCUGGAGACCUUCGAAUCGAAUGGGACCGUCCACAAAAUAUCGGUGAAAACUGCUUCAACUAUCAGUUACGGCUCAGCAAUGACACAGAGUGCUGA